UACGUAGGGUGCGAGCGUUGUCCGGAAUUAUUGGGCGUAAAGAGCUUGUAGGUGGUUUGUCGCGUCUGCUGUGAAAAUCCGAGGCUCAACCUCGGACUUGCAGUGGGUACGGGCAGACUAGAGUGUGGUAGGGGAGACUGGAAGUUCCUGGUGUAGCGGUGGGAAUGCGCAGAGUAUACAGGGAGGGAAACCACCCGGGUGGGCCGAAAGGGCGGGUUCUCUG
rnacentral:rRNA from 1 species